rnacentral:sRNA from 1 species
ACUGCCGGCAACUUUGUGAGUGAGUUCAGUGCGUGCGUGUGCGAGUGAGCGAAAAGGAGAGCGCGCGGCGGACGUGCCCGAGACGCGCGGCGGCACCGGGAGGCCGGGCCGAGCGGUCUUAAAACAUGUUGGAAAAAGUUGAAGCUCCCCUUUUCUACCCUCCUGAUCCUGUGCUUCUAUUGGAGUGCAUAUCACUUGAUGGCUUCUAAGACAAAUGUUAAAUUCUUGUCAGAUUACGCAAGUCUCACUCUUGUCACCCAGGCUAGAGUGCAGUGGUACAAUAUUGGCUCACUGCAUCCUCUGCCUCCUGGGUUCAAGCGAUUCUUGUACCUCAGCCUCCCAAGUAGCGGGGAUUACAGGCCCUCCCUAUCCUGAAGACAUUAGCUGAGAGUCUGGCACCUUUUAAAGGUCUGAUCAUCAAUUGUCUCUCUGGGCAGCCACCUAUGAGACUUCAUCUAUAUGGUUAUACCUUAUUGGUGUGGAUGUUGUUGUCUAAAUUUCGGUAGCCAUGGCACAACAAUAUA